AUGCAGAACCCUAGCAGCAAUCACCCUGCCCCGGCCGCGGCGGCGGCGGGGAAAUCCAAGUCCUCGGGGCAGGCCGCGGCAACGGCCUCGGGCCAGGGCCAUCAGCCCUCCCCAACCACGCCUGCGGCUGCCAAGUCCAAGUCCUCGGCCGCGGCAGGGGCCUCGGGCCACGGCCACAACUCCUCCCCGGCCACGCCGGCGGCCGGCAAGUCCAAGGUCUCGGCGCAUGCCGUGGCACCGGGCCAGGCGUCCUCCUCCAACCAACCCCACGCCGUCGGCGGCGCUGACGCAGCCGCAUCGAGCCUUAAGCGCAAGCGCGGCGUCUUCCAGAAGGACCUGCAGCACAUGAUGUAUGGGUUUGGGGACGAUCCAAAUCCACUUCCAGAAACAGUUGCACUUGUAGAGGACAUUGUUGUGGAAUAUGUUACUGACCUCGUCCACAAGGCUCAGAAUGUGGCUUCAAAGAGGGGGAAGCUCUUGACAGAGGAUUUUCUUUACCUUAUCCGAAAGGAUAUGCGGAAACUGCACCGCGCUACCGAGCUACUCUCCAUGAAUGAAGAGCUCAAGCAAGCAAGGAAAGCUUUUGAUGUGAAUGAAGAAACACUAGUAGUAACCAAUGAGUGA
rnacentral:rRNA from 1 species